CUCACUCAUUUCUGCCGGGACUCCCAUAGUCUGCUGGGCAGACAUCUGUUAAUUGCUUUCUCUUGGACUUCGUUUGACAUUUGGAGAAAUAGAAGGAGACUACUUACCUUUCCCCCUCCUUACACUCCUAAAUGCUGUCUGUGUAGGGUUUUGGAGCCAGAGAGGAAAGGAGGCCAGGUGAGUUUGAGCCUGCUCUCCGCUGGGUGUGCCUCAGGCGCUGUGGCCUGGUUUGGUGGCACGCCGGUGUAACUCCAGGCAGUCCGAGGCUCUGAGGCUUCCUCCCGCUGCCUGGACCGCAUUUGGUCAGAACAGUGCCUAGCUCUGCUUAUCCGCACAUGUGCACACCAACCCGAAAACAGGGUCCUAAGACAUCGUACAUGGAGGAGAGAUGCUCAGUGCCAACGUGGCCUUCUGUAACACAGGACCACACACAAUGAACAUGCGCAAUGGCGAUUUAAGACAACAACAUAACACAUUUCCCAUUUUACAAUGAAACACCUUCUCUUGCUAGUUGUGUGCCAUUGGUGCUUGCUUGAGGAGCAGUACUGUCAACCUGCCAGGGGUCAAGGACUGAAGGUUGCAGCUGCUUUUCUCUGCGUCUUCUAAAGUGCCUGCUCACCGGCGCUGAAGCGCUUUGAGACUUAGACCUACUCUGAACAAUGGCUGCUGGGCGCAGCAAAGGCCUCUUGGACUGCCCACUGACUGGCAGUGACUAUACAGGGGAAAGGGGCCUGCCUUUUUUCGUCACAGCAAGGACAACCUGUGGGAAGCCUGGAAACUGCAGCAAGCACUGUUCACAUGCUUAUUGUUUUACCCAUGUUUGCAAUCAUCCUGUGAGUCUCACAGAGGCUAAGCAGUUGACUUCCCAGGGGCACAAAGUAAUGGAGCUGAGAUGUAGCCUCAGUCAUGAUGGAGGAGGGAGGCUGAUUUGUAGUCACACAUUGCAUCAUGCCCCGAAGUCACUACACUCCCAGCUUGAAAAAGUCACAUGGUUAAUAUCUCUCCCUGACCUCUCAGGCUUUCUUCAUCACAAGAUGAAGAAAAGGGACAUGGAAAGAAAAAGAAAAACAAAUUUACUAAGCAAGAAGACAGGAUCAAUAAAGACCCGAGGAGGGAGAGGAUAG
rnacentral:lncRNA from 1 species